AACGAACGCUGGCGGCAGGCCUAACACAUGCAAGUCGAGCGAACCCUUCGGGGUUAGCGGCGGACGGGUUAGUAACGCGUGGGAAUAUACCCUUUGGUACGGAAUAGCCUCGGGGAAACUGAGAGUAAUACCGUAUGUGCCCCUCGGGGGAAAGAUUUAUCGCCAAAGGAUUAGCCCGCGUUGGAUUAGAUAGUUGGUGGGGUAAUGGCCUACCAAGUCUACGAUCCAUAGCUGGUUUGAGAGGAUGAUCAGCAACACUGGGACUGAGACACGGCCCAGACUCCUACGGGAGGCAGCAGUGGGGAAUCUUAGACAAUGGGCGCAAGCCUGAUCUAGCCAUGCCGCGUGGACGAUGAAGGCCUUAGGGUUGUAAAGUCCUUUCAGAUGGGAAGAUAAUGACGGUACCAUCAGAAGAAGCCCCGGCUAACUCCGUG
rnacentral:rRNA from 1 species